rnacentral:lncRNA from 1 species
GGGUAUCCAAUUGUAGUUUCUCUUGUUAUGGGCUUCCUCAUGUCUGGAAUUGUAAGAGGCAGGAAAAUCCUCAUUUUCCAACGAAUAAUUCCUCUAAGCCACUAAUCUGGCAAAAAUAAUCAUAUCCUCCUUUGGCAGUGGGGUGAAGAAAACUGGUCUGAUGGAGACUGUUGACUAACGCCACUAUGAAACCUUUGUUCCUCAAGCGCACUGAGAUCAAAAGGCUGUGUGGAGAUUGGCAUCUGAGCAGCCUGACUUGUAGACUGUAGUAGGACAACAUGACUCAUGGCUUGUGGUGA